AUGGGCAAUGAUGACUGGUUUUCUAGGCUAGCUCAAUGCACCAAGCCAACAACGACGUAGCUAGUUAGCACACUCAGUCAGGCAGAGGUCCAAGCUAGCUGGCUAGUUAUAUACAAUAGCAUAGCCAGUAUAUAUAUAUCAUCUUUGGCAUUAGUAGCUAACGUUAACCACAACAGUCAGGAAGCUAGGUAGGUCAUUGUUAACAACAAACAUCUAACGUUACACUGGUGCCUCUCAUGCACUACUUUUUGUGGUUGCCAAACUGUACGGACAUCCUGUUGCUGACACAGUGGAAGGUGGUCGGCACCACCUCCCAGGAGUUGAUUGGGUUAUCAAAGAGACUGAUCCCGUUGUAGUAAGUCUUCUUCACACCAAAACCCUCAGGGCAGAAGUCAUUCAUGUCAACCUGGCUGAUGUUGUUGGAGUGAAGAUGCUUCAUUCCAGCAAGACCUCCAGGGACAUUGGGGAUCCGGUUGUUCUCUAGAUGCAGCUCUCUCUGGUUUUGCAGGUAAUCCAGGCUGCCGUGCUCAAUGUGGCGAAUGUGAUUGUAGCCUAAACCCAACCUAACACCCACACACACACACACACACACACACAUUGAAAUUGAGUGAUUGAUGAGACAAUGAAGGGCAGACAAACUAGAGAAGGGGUCCCUAAUUACAUUCAGCCGUGUGUCGAUUUUUCCUUGAGCGAGUGGUCGGGCCACCGAAACAUAGUUAUUAAUAAUUUGUACACUGCAAAUUGACCGCAACAAUCCUAAACAGAUAUAGUUUUUGACAAAAACAGAAUAAUUUCAAACGUUGAUGAUUACAUUGGAAUACGAUCACAUAUGCCUCUCCAUUUUUGCGUGGGAAUACUUGGAAUCAGAAUUCCUAAAUUAAAAUCACUUUCAGCUAAUUUCCUGGUGAUUAAACUGUAUUUUAUGUCCAAGAACGAAAAUUAUAUAUAAAAAAAUCUUUCAGAUGCUCACUUCGUAUCUUCAAAGGAAAACAUUUAUUAAAAAAAUUAAAAAGCAUAAAAGUAACAACAGCAUAAUAGAAGAGUCAUUGUUCAAGUUGCACAACAGAAACUGUCGGGUAUCAUCAUGAUAGGGGCACCCUCUAUUGCAGGGUUCCCCAAUAAGCGGCUCUCAGGCCAAAUUAUUUCCCCCCCAAGUUUUCUGAGCAAAGAAAAAAAAUAUAUAGAUCUACAGCAUUCAUAAACUCCUCAUAAAUGCAUAAUGCGAUGGACUUUUAGAAACUCUCAGAUAUUGAACACUCUCUUGUAUAGCUACUUGUCCAGACGUACCUGUGCAAACCCUCAUAUUGCCUUAGGUCUUCUAGUUCAAUGGCUUGAAUUUGAUUCUGAUCCAAAUGCAACUCAUGUAGACCCUCAGGGAGAUCCGGAAGGUGAAUGAGAACAAGUGACUGAUAGAUUCAAAGGAUUUUUCAGUGGAAAUGUGUGGGAAGUUGCAAUGUAACAAACAGAACACUUAGCAGAACACUCCAAAUAUAAUUAUUGUAAAGGUUAUGCCAUGCUUUCUACCUUUAGGGAUGCCUGUGAGUUUUGCCUCAGAAAUGCGAAGGAAGGUAAGUUUGAGACCAUCAAAGGCUCCCGGCUCCAAACCACUGUUCUGAAUAGGAUUCCUCCCCAUCUCUGUAGGAGAAAAGUAUGUGUUUAAGUCAAUGCCAAUACCUGCUCCAGUACUCAAGCGGCUAGAUGUAGACCUCAAAGACCUUUAGAUGUUAGAUGUGUUUUGCUGUUCCCAUAUCUGGUACUAACACAUAAUAAAUAUGGCCUAAGGUCCAACUAUAGCUUGUCAUCUCACCAAUGCAAUUCAUGCUGCCCAGGCCAGAGAAAUCACCAGCCGCCACCUUCUUGAUGUGGUUGUCAUGGAUACGGAGCUCCACCAGAGAGGAGGGCAGGUUCUUGGGCACGGCUGUCAACUGGUUGUGGGAGAAGUAGAGCUUUUGCAUCCUUCCGAGGGGCAUGAAAGCCCGCGGGUGCACCCUGGAGAUCUUGUUAUUCACCAACACCAGAGCCUGAGAAAAGAGGGAUAGGUCAUGAGGAGACCAGCCACCCUGACCCAAAAUAAAUAUAGACCAUCGCUCAUAGAAUAAUACAAGCAUUGUUUUCAUUGUAAUACUAAACCAUGAUAUAUUCAAACACAGAUAUGAAUCAACCCAUUACCAUUAUAUAAUAAGUUAUGUACAAUAUAUAGUAAACAAUAUAUUACUUUUAACAGCAUUAAAAGUGUUUAUGUUUUCAGUAUGGACACUGAAAGGGGGCACUACUAUGAAAAAAAGCAAAGACAGACAAGUGAUGUAUCCUUCUAUUGAAAUGCCAGAACUCUCUUCCACCAUUUGUGUUAUGACUGUUGGUGCUCACAUAGAGGUUGCUGAGACCCUUGAAGUCAUCCUCUCUUAUCUCUCUGAUCUGGUUGCUUUGAAGGUCCAAGAGCCUGGUCUCCGGGGGGACGUCAUAUGGCACAUAGUGUGAACCUGCAGAUCAAACCACAAGAGAUGAACUUACCUGCUUGACUUUACAAACUUUUCCACAUUCUGUCAGUUCACAAUGAUUACAAUUCAGUUGUAAUAUAAACAGUUGUUAUUGUUGCUUUUCAAAAAGUGUUAAAUCUAUGAAUCAUGACAAAAUACCUCUUGGACACACACAGUAUGUUCUCACUCUUAAGGUUAUGUCUGGAUAAUUCUACAAGUUAGAAUUUAUCAUCAUACUGUAUUUUGGUAAAUGCUGAGUAAUUUUCUGGGCUAUGGUUUGUAUGCAUAUGUUGCACUUUGUUGUUGUUUGUGUGUGAGAUGUCACCAUAUAAUUAGGAAGACACCAGCUACCCCAGACUCCACGUAGCACUAACAAGUAACGUGCAGUUGUGCAGUGUGGCUGCUGUCUAUACAUUAACAAUUGUAUGUUAAGUGUGAAGAAUCAUUUGGAGAGAAUAUAAUAUUGUGACUUUGUAUCUCUUAACUCACCCAAGUCAGAGCACUGCACAACCUUCUGGUUACACUGACAGCCGAAUGGGCAAGUAGGCUGUUCUGGUUUGUAGUAUUCCUCAACUGCUGAGCCCUCUUCAUCGUUCAUCAUCAUCAUCAUCAGCCCCUCUACAUCGAUGCUCUUCCCAAAGUCCAAGAAGCCCUUCUGCUCAAAGGGCAGUGCCACAGAGGGGAUGGGUAGAGGGGUGGCACACAGCAGGAGAAGGACAACAGAGAAGGGAAUCAUGGCUAAGCCUUUUGUUGAAGAGAAAUCACAAGAGGAAGACAAAAAAAAGCACAAGGAAAAUGAACAGCAGUCAAUAAAGAACCACAGUUAUGAAUCCAGCAACUAUUCCUGUAGCCUACAAUUGCAGAGUUGCUCCUCAAUGUAAAAAAUCUAUUAUAAACUGGGUGGUUUGAGCCCUGAAUGCUGAUUGGCUGAAAGCGGUAGUAUAUCAGACCUUAUACCACGGGUAUGACAAAAUAAUUAUUUUUACCGUUCUAAUUAUGUUGGUAACCAGUUUAUAAUAGCAAUAAUGUACCUCUGGGGUAAGCAGUAUAUGACCAAUAUACCACGGCUGUAACGUCCUGACCAGAGUUCUUAUGAGUUUUGCUUGUUUAGUGUUGGUCAGGACGUGAACUGGGUGGGAAUUCUAUGUUGUGUGUCUAGUUCGUCUGUUCCUGUGUCUGUGUCCGUUGCACCACACGGGACUGUUUCGUUUGUUCAUUCGUUUGGCUAGUUUUUCCUGUUCGUGCGUUCUUCGUGUCUAUAUAAUAUCUCAAGUUCAGGUCUGUCUACGUCGUUUUGUUGUUUUGUUUCUAUUCAAGUGUUCUUCGUGUUUUCGUCUUGUUUAAUAAAUAUUCAUUAUGUCA